UUCAGAAGGAGAGAAUUACAACAUGGGGGGUGUCGUGGUAAACGUCGUCGUCAAGCACGUUUUGCAUAUCUUCUUGUGUACGCCAACAGCAAAGUUGAAGGAAACCAUUAGCUGUUUGCACAAACUACCCAUCUGAUAAACAGUCCCAGUUUAUCUCUUUUCUGCUUUUUUACCGGAUUUUCGCCGAGAUUUCAGCCCAUUGUUUGUUCUUUUUUUGUGGGUAUUCGGAUUAUUAUACGCAAAGAGGGCGGUGGUGAAAUGCAGACGGAAGCGAGAGUGGGGGUGGUGAAUACGACGUCGUCGGUGGUGGUGGAGCCGCGGCGACAGAGGCAAAUCGGGACGGCGUCGCAGCUUCUGGCUGGUGGGGUUGCCGGAGCCGUCAGCAAAACUUGUACGGCUCCCCUCGCCCGUCUCACAAUUCUUUUUCAGGUUCAGGGGAUGCACUCUGAUGCUUCUAGCUUAGGAAAGGCUAGCAUCUGGCAUGAAGCAUUAGGAAUUGUUAGAAAGGAAGGAGUGAGGGCAUUUUGGAAGGGAAAUUUGGCUACAAUUGCACACCGUCUUCCCUAUUCCUCCAUUAGCUUUUAUGCAUUUGAACACUACAAGAAUCUGUUACAUGAUAUUGUAGGAGUUGAAAGCCAAGGAGAGAAUGUUAGUGCAGACAUUUGCAUACGACUUGUAGGUGGUGGUUUGGCUGGAGUAACUGCUGCUUCUGUUACGUAUCCCCUGGAUCUUGUGAGGACGCGCCUUGCAACACAGAGAAAUGUGAUCUAUUAUAGAGGGAUAUGGCAUGCUUUGUAUACCAUUAGCAAAGAAGAAGGUGUCUUUGGCCUUUAUAAGGGACUUGGUGCAACUUUGUUGGGUGUUGGCCCAAAUCUGGCCAUUAGCUUUUCAGUAUAUGAAACUGCAAGAUCUUAUUGGCAUUUUCACAGACCUGAAGACUCAACUGUUUUGGUCAGCCUUACAUGUGGGAGUCUUUCAGGAAUUGCAUCAUCAACAGUAGCAUAUCCCCUGGAUCUUGUGAGACGACGGAUGCAGUUGGAAGGAGCUGGUGGUAGAGCUCGUGUGUAUAACACGGGUCUUUUUGGUACAUUCAGACAUAUAAUCAGAUCCGAAGGUUGGUGUGGUCUGUAUCGAGGGAUACUACCUGAAUACUACAAGGUUGUCCCAAGUGUGGGCAUUGUCUUCAUGACGUACGAAAAAUUGAAGCAGAUUCUAUCGACCAUUCCUGAAAGUUGAUGAGUUGACGUCUAAUACAAGAUGAAAUUUAUGAUGUUCACAAUGUCUCUUGGAGUGCAGCAUGAGUGUCAACUUUGCCACCCUUGCUCCUUGGUACUCAAUAGCAAGUGUAUAGGUACUUACACAAACGACUUGGAUAUUGGCAGGGUAGGGUCAAGUAUAGUUUAUAAAGUUGGCAGCAAUUCUUUAAAGCCCUAUUUACUUGAGUGGAUGGGAUUGGAUUGGAUUAGAUCCUUCCUGUCUAACAAAACCAGGCGUUUACUUUGGUAAAUAGAUGUUUUAGCUAUGCUUAUAAAAAUGAUGCCAACAAACUGUAGACAAUAACUAUUUACUACAUUUAUUUUUAACUGUUGCCUA